GAUGAACGCUGGCGGCGUGCCUAAUACAUGCCAGUCGAGCGAACGGACGAGAAGCUUGCUUUUCUGAUGUUAGCGGCGGACGGGUGAGUAACACGUGGAUAACCUACCUAUAAGACUGGGAUAACUUCGGGAAACCGGAGCUAAUACCGGAUAAUAUUUUGAACCGCAUGGUUCAAAAGUGAAAGACGGCCUUGCUGUCACUUAUAGAUGGAUCCGCGCUGCAUUAGCUAGUUGGUAAGGUAACGGCUUACCAAGGCAACGAUGCAUAGCCGACCUGAGAGGGUGAUCGGCCACACUGGAACUGAGACACGGUCCAGACUCCUACGGGAGGCAGCAGUAGGGAAUCUUCCGCAAUGGGCGAAGCCUGACGGAGCAACGCCGCGUGAGUGAUGAAGGUCUUCGGAUCGUAAAACUCUGUUAUUAGGGAAGAACAUAUGUGUAAGUAACUGUGCACAUCUUGACGGUACCUAAUCAGAAAGCCACGGCUAACUACGUG
rnacentral:rRNA from 1 species